rnacentral:lncRNA from 1 species
CCAUCCAUACCCCCUCUCUUCAUCUUCUUCUCCCACUCUUCUUCCUUAUUUUUUUCUUUCUUAAUCUUAAUUCUCCUCGCCUUUUUUCUACUUUUUCUCCUUUUUUUUCUUAAACUUCAUCUCUUAAAAUUUCUACACAUCUUUUUCCAAUGAAGGAGCCUGAUUCAACUAGAUUUCUUCCAAAUGAUUCUUGAAUUAGCC